rnacentral:SRP_RNA from 16 species
UGCACACGUGUGAAGCUUGUCAGGACUGGAAG